GACGAACGCUGGCGGCGUGCCUAACACAUGCAAGUCGAGCGAAUGAAGUUCCUUCGGGAAUGGAUUUAGCGGCGGACGGGUGAGUAACACGUGGGCAACCUGCCUCAUAGAGGGGAAUAGCCUUCCGAAAGGGAGAUUAAUACCGCAUAAGAUUGUAGUACCGCAUGGUACAGUAAUUAAAGGAGUAAUCCGCUAUGAGAUGGGCCCGCGGCGCAUUAGCUAAGUUGGUGAGGUAACGGCGUCACCAAGGCGACGAUGCGUAGCCGACCUGAGAGGGUGAUCGGCCACAUUGGGACUGAGACACGGCCCAGACUCCUACGGGAGGCAGCAGUGGGGAAUAAUUGCACAAUGGGGGAAACCCUGAUGCAGCAACGCCGCGUGAGUGAUGACGGCCUGGUUGUAAGACGUCUGUCUUCUAGGACGGAGUAAUGACGGUACCGUAGAGGAGGAAGGACCGACGGCGUAACUACGUAGCCAGCAGCCGGUAAAACGUGUAGUGUACGU
rnacentral:rRNA from 1 species